AUAACCUACCUAUAAGACUGGGAUAACUUCGGGAAACCGGAGCUAAUACCGGAUAAUAUAUUGAACCGCAUGGUUCAAUGGUGAAAGACGGUUUUGCUGUCACUUAUAGAUGGAUCCGCGCCGCAUUAGCUAGUUGGUAAGGUAACGGCUUACCAAGGCAACGAUGCGUAGCCGACCUGAGAGGGUGAUCGGCCACACUGGAACUGAGACACGGUCCAGACUCCUACGGGAGGCAGCAGCG
rnacentral:rRNA from 1 species